rnacentral:other from 1 species
GGGUUCCUGCCGCCUGCUCGCUGGAGAACCCAAAGAAUCCCGAACACCUAAAUCCCUAGGGGCCCAACGUGGGUUGUGGUGUGCAAGCCCAGACUUCUUUCACUGGGAAGCCUAAAGCAGCCAGACGGGUCCCACCUUGAACAAGGCUCAGGGGUUCCGGGUUCUUCCUGCCGGCAAGCGGUCAGGAACACC